rnacentral:rRNA from 1 species
UACGUAGGGUGCAAGCGUUGUCCGGAAUUAUUGGGCGUAAAGAGCUCGUAGGCGGUCUGUCGCGUCUGCUGUGAAAACUCAGGGCUUAACCCUGAGCUUGCAGUGGGUACGGGCAGACUAGAGUGCGGUAGGGGAGACUGGAAUUCCUGGUGUAGCGGUGAAAUGCGCAGAUAUCAGGAGGAACACCGGUGGCGAAGGCGGGUCUC